rnacentral:tRNA from 1 species
AGGCCGGUAGCGUAGUCAGGAUAACGCACAAGCCUCCUAAGCUUGGGAUCGUGGGUUCAAAUCCCACUCGGUCUG